rnacentral:rRNA from 1 species
UACGAAGGGGGCUAGCGUUGCUCGGAAUCACUGGGCGUAAAGGGUGCGUAGGCGGGUCUUUAAGUCAGGGGUGAAAUCCUGGAGCUCAACUCCAGAACUGCCUUUGAUACUGAAGAUCUUGAGUGCGGGAGAGGUGAGUGGGACUGCGAGUGUAGAGGUGAAAUUCGUAGAUAUUCGCAAGAACACCAGUGGCGAAGGCGGCUCACUGGCCCGAUACUGACGCUGAGGCACGAAAGCGUGGGGAGCAAACAGG